AUGCCAAAUAUUAGGUUGGCACAAAAGUAAUUGUGGCUUUUGCCAUUAAAAGUAAUGGUAAAAACUGCAAUUACUUUCGUGCCAACCUAAUAUUUGUGUG
ensembl:miRNA MIR548X2 microRNA 548x-2